AGGAGCUGCCACAGUGUUCCCAGGAUAGGAGCCACCUUUGCAGAGAGAAUGACUCAUUCAUUAUUCUGAAAGAUUAAGUACCAAAUACCUCAUUAGAGAAACUGCAAACUGAAAAACAGAUAACAGCUGGAGAAUAGGAAAAAAGUCAUUUGUACAUGAGGAAGUAGUGAGGCAAAUCUAAAACUUCAGACAUUGGAUCAAAGCCUAUUCACCAUUCAUGGGGGAGAAUAUUAUGAGAAGAGUUAAUUUUCAUUGCAUUCACGAUUUUUAUCCAAACAUACUAUGAAAUCUCUAAAGAAACUGGAUCGCCAAGGUCAAGAAGCCCAACUUGAGAUAAAUGAUCCAAGACAAGUUAUACAGUCUGAGUACAAGGAAGAGAAGAGGAAUGCAUGGAGAUUAGGCACUUGGAGAAGAAAAAAAUAAAGAUUCAAUUUGACUAGAGUCUCCCCCUAAAUUUAGAUGGGCAAUUUCAACUUAAAUUUCAUGAGGUUAGAGGGCAAGAUAUACCAAAGAAACACAGACCUGACACAAGAUUAAUGACUUCACUCAUCAGAAUUAACUCACAUCUAGUUAAGAUAGCAAGAGGAGAAAAAGCUAAGACAAUGUGUGAGAAGCAAUGUAUCUGGAGAUAAAAAAAAUUUGAAGUAAUUAUCCACAUCUGUGAACUAAAAUGUACUCCAAUAAGAUAAAAGUGUGAAAUCCCAGUUUAGCAAUGAGCAUAAUAGUUUUUAUACAAGAACAGCCAAUACUGAAGCACCUUCCUGAGGCUUAUGGUGUCCUGAAAAAAAAAAAAAAGUAAUUGCAGAAAAUGCACUCAACUUUAA